rnacentral:rRNA from 1 species
GUGGGGAAUAUUGGACAAUGGGGGGAACCCUGAUCCAGCCAUGCCGCGUGUGUGAAGAAGGCCUUUUGGUUGUAAAGCACUUUAAGCGAGGAGGAGGCUACCGAGAUUAAUACUCUUGGAUAGUGGACGUUACUCGCAGAAUAAGCACCGGCUAACUCUGUGCCAGCAGCCGCGGUAAUACAGAGGGUGCAAGCGUUAAUCGGAUUUACUGGGCGUAAAGCGCGCGUAGGUGGCCAAUUAAGUCAAAUGUGAAAUCGCCGAGCUUAACUUGGGAAUUGCAUUCGAUACUGGUUGGCUAGAGUAUGGGAGAGGAUGGUAGAAUUCCAGGUGUAGCGGUGAAAUGCGUAGAGAUCUGGAGGAAUACCGAUGGCGAAGGCAGCCAUCUGGCCUAAUACUGACACUGAGGUGCGAAAGCAUGGGGAGCAAACAGGAUUAGAUACCCGUGUAGUCC